CCCCCGGUAGCCCAAUUGGCAGAGGCAAGCGACUUAAAAUCGCUGAGCUGCGGGUUCGAGUCCCGCCCGGGGGACCA
rnacentral:tRNA from 1 species